rnacentral:rRNA from 1 species
CGUGAGGGGAUGAAGGCCUUCGGGUUGUAAACCUCUUUCAGCAGGGAAGAAGCGAAAGUGACGGUACCUGCAGAAGAAGCACCGGCUAACCUACGUGC